rnacentral:rRNA from 1 species
UACGUAGGGGGCGAGCGUUGUCCGAAGUUACUGGGCGUAAAGCGCGCGUAGGCGGGGGGUUAAGUGAGAGGUGAAAGGCUGGGGCUCAACCUCAUGCAGUGCCUCUCAUACUGGCCUUCUUGAGGGCGGUAGGGAGAAGUGGAAUGGCUGGUGUAGCGGUGGAAUGCGUAGAGAUCCGGAAGAACACCGGUGGCGAAGGCGGUGAGCUGGGCAGUUGCUGACACUGAGGCGCGACAGCGUGGGGAGCAAACAGG